rnacentral:rRNA from 1 species
UACGUAGGGUGCAAGCGUUGUCCGGAAUUAUUGGGCGUAAAGAGCUCGUAGGCGGUCUGUCGCGUCGGAUGUGAAAAUCCAGGGCUCAACCCUGGACCUGCAUUCGAUACGGGCAGACCAGAGUUCGGCAGGGGAGACUGGAAUUCCCGGUGUAGCGGUGAAAUGCGCAGAUAUCGGGAAGAACACCCGUGGCGAAGGCGGCUCUCUGGAACGCAACUGACGCUGAGACGCGAAAGCGUGGGGAGCAAACAGG